GUCGUAACAAGGUUUCCGUAGGUGAACCUGCGGAAGGAUCAUUACCACACCUUAACAAAUUGAAUGCGAGCGGGGCGUCAAACCCUCGCUCGUCUUCGGUUACGUGGACCCCCUUUUGGGCGGAGCUCGUCUCUGCCACGCCGACGGAGCUAGAUUUCAUUCUAUCUCCCGACGCACCAUUUCCAUCCACUUGUUCACGCAAGUGCGAUACCAACACAAUCUGAUUGAAACUCAUCCAAACGGCCGUUCGCAAGAACCGCCUGACAAAGAUGAAACGAAACUAACACUUUCAGCAACGGAUGUCUUGGCUCCCA
rnacentral:misc_RNA from 1 species